rnacentral:rRNA from 1 species
AACACGUGGCUAACCUGCCCUUGGGACGGGGACACCCCCGGGAAACUGGGGUUAAUCCCCGAUAGGUGAAGAACUCUGGAAUGAAUCUCCGCCCAAAAGACACUUACACUAUGCUUGUAGGCGUUGCCCGAGGAUGGGGCCGCGUCCGAUCAGGUUGUUGGUGAGGUAACGGCUCACCAAGCCUUUUACCGGUGCGGGCCGUGGGAGCGGGAGCCCGGAGAUGGGCACUGAGACAAGGGCCCAGGCCCUACGGGGCGCAGCAGUCGCGAAAACUUUGCAAUACACGAAAGUGUGACAGGGCUAUCCCGAGUGCCAUCCGCUGAGGAAGGCUUUUACCCAGUGUAGAUAGCUGGGGGAAUAAGGAGAGGGCAAGACUGGUGUCAGCCGCCGCGGUAAUACCAGCUCUCCGAGUGGUGUGGAUGUUUAUUGGGCCUAAAGCAUCCGUAGCUGGCUGGGCAAGUCCCCUGUUAAAUCCACCGAUUUAAUCGUUGGUGUGCGGGGGAUACUGUUCGGCU